GGCGCUCCUAAAACCCUAAAUGUGUCUCAAACAUUGGUUCCCUAAGGCUUGAUUUAUUUAUUUAUUUUUUAUCUUGUAGAUGGUGGAGACUUGUGUCAGCAGAGGUUUUGUGAAUGUGACCAGGCUGCCAUCGAGUGCAUGACUGAGAGCUCAUACAACUCCUCACUGAGAGGCUUCGCUGAGUCAUCGUGCUCGGACUUCAAUCAAACAGGUUUGUUUGGUGGCCCUGAGAAGCUCGAUGAAUCCCUCCAAGACUCAGACGUCUUCAAAGCACUAAACGACUCUGCAAGCUUCCAGUCAUCCAACGUUUCCCUCCUGUCAGCAGAGUUGGACCCUCUAAUGACCGGCUGGGUGGAUAACAGCAGUGACACUGAGGGGCUGAAUGGAGACCUUGUAACCCAAGCUGUGAACUCUCCCUCCCUGCUGAUCCCUGCUGGUAGGAUCUAUAAUUGGCACUCGAUUCGUGGGUUUUGCGGCUGAGUGGAACAUAUUAACCAUUUAAGGACAGAGCAAUCCAAUGGAACCAAAAACUGUCUCUAGAUAUUCUCUUCUUGUGUUAUUAGUCAUGGAAAAAUGUUUGGGUGUGAGACUAUGUUUAUGGGGUU
rnacentral:lncRNA from 1 species